rnacentral:rRNA from 1 species
UUGGAAUAAUACCCCAUACGAUCUUUACCUGGCAUCGGGUAGAGAAGAAAACUUUUGUGGUAGAAGAUGGCAUGCGUCCUAUUAGUUAGUUGGUGAGGUAACGGCUCACCAAGACGUCGAUAGGUAGGGGCCCUGAGAGGGGGAUCCCCACACUGGUACUGAGACACGGACCAGACUCCUACGGGAGGCAGCAGUGAGGAAUAUUGGACAAUGGAGGCAACUCUGAUCCAGCCAUGCCGCGUGCAGGAAGACUGCCCUAUGGGUUGUAAACUGCUUUUAUACAGGAAGAAACUGCGCUACGUGUAGCGUACUGACGGUACUGUAAGAAUAAGGAUCGG